AUUGAUUUGGCAGAAAAGUGCAUUAAUUUUAGGAUUUAAAAAGGUAAAUUAUUUUACAUUCAAUA
rnacentral:tRNA from 1 species